GAUGAACGCUGGCGGCGUGCCUAAUACAUGCAAGUCGAGCGAACAGACGAGGAGCUUGCUCCUCUGACGUUAGCGGCGGACGGGUGAGUAACACGUGGAUAACCUACCUAUAAGACUGGGAUAACUUCGGGAAACCGGAGCUAAUACCGGAUAAUAUAUUGAACCGCAUGGUUCAAUAGUGAAAGACGGUUUUGCUGUCACUUAUAGAUGGAUCCGCGCCGCAUUAGCUAGUUGGUAAGGUAACGGCUUACCAAGGCAACGAUGCGUAGCCGACCUGAGAGGGUGAUCGGCCACACUGGAACUGAGACACGGUCCAGACUCCUACGGGAGGCAGCAGUAGGGAAUCUUCCGCAAUGGGCGAAAGCCUGACGGAGCAACGCCGCGUGAGUGAUGAAGGUCUUCGGAUCGUAAAACUCUGUUAUUAGGUAAGAACAAAUGUGUAAGUAACUAUGCACGUCUUGACGGUACCUAAUCAGAAAGCCACGGCUAACUACGU
rnacentral:rRNA from 1 species